GAAGGUAUAGCUCAGUAUGAGAGUGCAUGCCUAACCUGCGUAAGGUCCUGGGUUCAAUUCCCAGUAUCUCUG
rnacentral:tRNA from 1 species